rnacentral:rRNA from 1 species
AAGCUUAUCCUUUGCUUGAUGAUUCGAAAUAAGUACACUAAUGUACUUAUUAUUGUUGGUUCGUGAUGGUUUAGCGCAGCGCACUAGCUAUAGUAUAGCGCCUGCCUGCCUCUCGGAUCGAUCCCGGUAGCCAAAUGCAUUGUCAUCGAAUUAGUGACGCGCGCAUAUGAGAUUGUCCCUAUCUACUAAUAAUAUAGAAUUAAAGACUUUACAAAA